AACAUGUCUUUUUGUAUUUAUUUUAAAAGUCUAACCUGCCCACUGAAUAGAUUUAAAUGGCCGCAGUAUUCUAACUGUGCAAAGGUAGCAUAAUCAUUAGUCUUUUAAUUGAAGGCUGGUAUGAAUGGUUGGACGAGGUAUUAACUGUUUCAAAUAAAUUUUUUAUAGAAUUUUAUUUUUUAGUCAAAAAGCUAAAAUGGGUUUAAAAGACGAGAAGACCCUAUAAAUCUUUACUUUUAAAUAAUUUUAAUUAUAAAGAUAAAUUUUAUUAUAAUUGUUGAAAAAGUUUUAUUGGGGUGAUAUUAAAAUUUAAAAAACUUUUAAUUUGUUUAAAACAUAAAUUAAUGAAUAUUUGAUCCAAUAUUAUUGAUUAUAAAAUUAAGUUACUUUAGGGAUAACAGCGUAAUUUUUUUGGAGAGUUCAUAUCGAUAAAAAAGAUUGCGACCUCGAUGUUGGAUUAAGAAAAAUUUUAGGUGUAGUCGCUUAAAUAUUAAGUCUGUUCGACUUUUAAAUUCU
rnacentral:rRNA from 1 species